AGCAGCCGCGGUAAUUCCAGCUCCAAUAGCGUACAUUAAAGUUGUUGCAGUUAAAAAGCUCGUAGUUGAAUUUCGGGAUCAGCAGGUCGGUCGUGCCACUGGUAUGCACUGGCCUUGCUGAUUCCUCCCUCUUGAUGAGCCGUAAUGCCAUUAAUUUGGUGUUGCGGGGAAUCAGGACUGUUACUUUGAAAAAAUUUAGAGUGUUUAAAGCAGGCAUGCGCUUGAAUACAUUAGCAUGGAAUAAUGAAAUAGGACGUUCGAUCCUAUUUUGUUGGUUUCUAGGAUUGACGUAAUGAUUAAUAGGGAUAGUUGGGGGCAUUAGUAUUCAAUUGUCAGAGGUGAAAUUCUUGGAUUUAUUGAAGACUAACUACUGCGAAAGCAUUUGCCAAGGAUGUUUUCAUUAAUCAAGAACGAAAGUUAGGGGAUCGAAGACGAUCAGAUACCGUCGUAGUCUUAACCAUAAACUAUGCCGACUAGGGAUCGGAUGAUGUUAAUUUUUUAAUGACUCAUUCGGCGCCUU
rnacentral:rRNA from 1 species